rnacentral:rRNA from 1 species
CAGCAGCCGCGGUAAAACGUAGGGUGCGAGCGUUAAUCGGAAUUACUGGGCGUAAAGCGGGCGCAGACGGUUACUUAAGCAGGAUGUGAAAUCCCCGGGCUCAACCUGGGAACUGCGUUCUGAACUGGGUAACUAGAGUGUGUCAGAGGGAGGUAGAAUUCCACGUGUAGCAGUGAAAUGCGUAGAGAUGUGGAGGAAUACCGAUGGCGAAGGCAGCCUCCUGGGAUAACACUGACGUUCAUGCCCGAAAGCGUGGGUAGCAAACAGGAUUAGAUACCCGCGUAGUCCCUGUCUCUUAUCA